UAUAGAGGGUGCGAGCGUUGUUCGGAAUUAUUGGGGCGUAAAGCGCUUGUAGGCGGCACGUCAAGUCGCGGUGUGAAAUCCCCAGGCUUAACCUGGGAAGUGCGCGCGAAACUGACGAGCUUGAGUGCCGGAGAGGGUCGCGGAAAUUCCCGGUGUAGAGGUGAAAUUCGUAGAUAUCGGGAGGGAACACCAGUGGCGAAGGCGGCGACCUGGACGGAC
rnacentral:rRNA from 1 species